rnacentral:rRNA from 1 species
CCUACGGGUGGCAGCAGUGAGGAAUAUUGGUCAAUGGCCGGAAGGCUGAACCAGCCAUGCCGCGUGAAGGGCAGGGACCUAGGGGCGGUAAACUUCUUUUGUGCGGGAGCAAGAAUGGUCACGGGGGGCCAGACGAGAGGACCGUACGAAUAAGCAGCGGCUACCUCCGUGCCAGCAGCCGCGGUAAUACGGGGGAUGCAAGCGUUAGCCGGAGUUCUUGGGGUUAAAGGGUGCGUAGGAUGUGAGGUAAGUCAGCGGUGAAAUGCCCCCGCUCAACGGGGGGAAGUGCCAUUGAUACGGCCUUGCUGGACUGCGGAUGCCGUGGGCGGAAUGUGUGGUGUAGCGGUG